rnacentral:rRNA from 1 species
CCAUAGACUUUGGAGUGCGGAACGGGGUUGAGUAACGGGUAGGUAACCUGCCUAUUAGAGGGGGAUAACUAUUGGAAGCGAUAGCUAAUACCGCAUAACAGUAUGUAACACAUGUUAGAUGCUUGAAAGAUGCAAUUGCAUCGCUAGUAGAUGGACCUGCGUUGUAUUAGCUAGUAGGUAGGGUAAAGGCCUACCUAGGCAACGAUACAUAGCCGACCUGAGAGGGUGAUCGGCCACACUGGGACUGAGACACGGCCCAGACUCCUACGGGAGGCAGCAGUAGGGAAUCUUCGGCAAUGGGGGGAACCCUGACCGAGCAACGCCGCGUGAGUGAAGAAGGUUUUCGGAUCGUAAAGCUCUGUUGCUAAGGAAGAACGAGUGUGAGAAUGGAAAGUUCAUACUGUGACGGUACUUAACCAGAAAGGGACGGCUAACUACGUGCCAGCAGCCGCGGUAAUACGUAGGUCCCGAGCGUUGUCCGGAUUUAUUGGGCGUAAAGCGAGCGCAGGCGGUUAGAAAAGUCUGAAGUGAAAGGCAGUGGCUCAACCAUUGUAGGCUUUGGAAACUGUUUAACUUGAGUGCAGAAGGGGAGAGUGGAAUUCCAUGUGUAGCGGUGAAAUGCGUAGAUAUAUGGAGGAACACCGGUGGCGAAAGCGGCUCUCUGGUCUGUAACUGACGCUGAGGCUCGAAAGCGUGGGGAGCGAACAGGAUUAGAUACCCUGGUAGUCCACGCCGUAAACGAUGAGCGCUAGGUGUUAGGUCCUUUCCGGGACUUAGUGCCGUAGCUAACGCAUUAAGCGCUCCGCCUGGGAGUACGA